rnacentral:ncRNA from 1 species
AAACUUUAUGUUUCGUCGCUACUUCUUAGAGGGACUUUGUGUGUUUAACACAAGGAAGCUUGAGGCAAUAACAGGUCUGUGAUGCCCUUAGAUGUUCUGGGCUGCACGCGCGCUACACUGACACGAUCAACAAGUAUUUCCUUGCCCGGUAGGGUUAGGGUAAUCUUUUGAAAUCGUGUCGUGCUAGGGAUAGACGAUUGCAAUUAUUCGUCUUCAACGAGGAAUUCCUAGUAAAUGCAAGUCAUCAGCUUGCGUUGAUUACGUCCCUGCCCUUUGUACACACCGCCCGUCGCUCCUACCGAUUGAGUGAUCCGGUGAGCUGUCCGGACUGCGAUUAGUUCAGUUUCUGUUCUCUUCGCGGGAAGUUCUGCAAACCUUAUCACUUAGAGGAAGGAGAAGUCGUAACAAGGUUUCCGUAGGUGAACCUGCGGAAGGAUCAUUC